CUGCAAGAGCCGUUGAAAUACACAUCUCCCUUGCCACAGUGAAAAGGAGAUCACACAAGCUGCUGGACUUCUCACCCAGGAGAGCUGAGCAAAUGUAAGCUCUGGUCCGGCCGAGAUGACCGGGGUUGAUGGAAACAGCAGCAGCGGUGGUAUCGGAAAGAGUAUGUGGCUUACCUGUGAAGCUGGGAAAGUAUUUCUUCAGGUCAGAGGUCUGGACUUUGUCAUGCAGGAUGUCAGUCUUGUUGAGGAAGAGGAUGAUGGAGGUGUUGAAGAACCAAGGAGAGUGGAUGGUGGUGUAGAACA